CCACGUGUUGUCAUCUGUGAAGUGUAGAACUCCUUUCAUGAAUUUCCUCUGUUCUAGAGGCUAGGAUUAGUAAAUAUCAACUGAUUUAUUGAAGUCAUAAGAAAUGAUAUCUUAAACUUAAUGGCUAUUUCUAUCUGAAGUGGACUACUGAAAUGUCAAAGUCUUCUGGAAUGCUGUUUACACUUCACAUCAGUUUAAUAAAGUUCAAAGAUUUUACUAUACUGACUCAUAGUACUUCUUAAUUAGUAAUUAUAGAAGAGCCAUUGGAAACGAAGCCAUGAAUAAGGUCAUAUAAAAUUUCCCAAGGUUCCAUUCUUGAGUGAAGUUAAUACAUCUGCAGAUUUUUAGGACAAGUUUAAUUCAUUUUGCAUACAUUUUAGCUGUUCUCCUAUGUGUAUUUUUAUGUUGUCAUUAAUUUUUUUUAAUUUAAGAGAAUCUAAAUAUGUGAA